UGUGUUGGACUCUUGGGCACUUGGAUAUCUCAGGUUUAAAAUAGCAAUUCUCUGAGGCCAUACAAUAGCAAGUGCUUAUAUGGGCUCAUGGGAGGGAAGAAAAGAGUUGCGCAAGAGGGUUCAGCCGACGCUGCCAAAAUAGCCACAAAGUUUAGCAUUCCAAGCUGUUCCCUGAUGGCAUUCCUCCAGCCAGGCAUCUGGCUUGGGGGCGGUGGGUUGGGCUGGGGUGCUCUUGUUAAAGCCUCACUCUUUGAAGUUGCCUUGCUCAGACUCAACACUUGUUUCCACUGGAAGGACCCUCCCCUGUUCUCUGGACAAGAGGUAACUGAUAAUGUCAGAAACUGAGGAAAUCAUUGAAGAAUAUGAAGAGUAAGUGUUUGAAGAAUGUGUGGAAGAAGAAGAGGAAGAAUGGAUAGAGGUGGAAGACGACCAAGAAGAACAAGCUGAAGACGUCAAGGAAGGUGAAGGGGAAACCAUAGCAGAAGGCAUGUAUUGAUGUUCUGCUGAGAGAGCUCAAACUGAUGGAAACAUUUUGAUGAUGUGCCCUUUGGUGGUGUGCAAAGACCUUGCAUGAGCCAAAUCUUGCACCAGUAACUAAAUGGGAAAUGCAACAGUCCUGUCCAACAAUGAGCUGUAAUUUGGCAUCUAGCUGUAGUUCUUUUGAUGUGCCCUAUCUCUUCAAGCCUGUCUUCAUAUCUCUCU